UGGGGAAUAUUGCACAAUGGGGGAAACCCUGAUGCAGCGACGCCGCGUGAGUGAAGAAGUAUUUCGGUAUGUAAAGCUCUAUCAGCAGGGAAGAAAAUGACGGUACCUGACUAAGAAGCCCCGGCUAACUACGUGCCAGCAGCCGCGGUAAUACGUAGGGGGCAAGCGUUAUCCGGAUUUACUGGGUGUAAAGGGAGCGUAGACGGCCAGACAAGUCAGAAGUGAAAGCCCAGGGCUCAACUCUGGGACUGCUUUUGAAACUGCCGGGCUGGAGUGCAGGAGAGGUAAGCGGAAUUCCUAGUG
rnacentral:rRNA from 1 species